GGGCGCGUAGCUCAGCUGGUUAGAGCGCUUCCCUUACAAGGAAGAGGUCUCAGGUUCGAGCCCUGACGCGCCCA
rnacentral:tRNA from 1 species